rnacentral:tRNA from 1 species
UCCGGUGUGGCCGAAUUGGCAAGGCGUUGCAUUGUUAAUGCAAUCCAUGGGGGUUCGAGUCCCUCCGCCGGAG